rnacentral:rRNA from 1 species
AGAGUUUGAUCAUGGCUCAGGAUGAACGCUGGCGGCGUGCCUAAUACAUGCAAGUCGAGCGCGAAGAUCAGGAGCUUGCUCCUGAGAUUCGAGCGGCGGACGGGUGAGUAACACGUAGGCAACCUACCCUUGAGAUUGGGAUAACUACCGGAAACGGUAGCUAAUACCGGAUACGACAUUCCUGCAUAAGUAAGAAUGUUAAAAGGCGGAUUUAUCUGCCGCUCAUGGAUGGGCCUGCGGUGCAUUAGCUAGUUGGUGAGAUAGUAGCUCACCAAGGCGACGAUGCAUAGCCGACCUGAGAGGGUGAUCGGCCACACUGGGACUGAGACACGGCCCAGACUCCUACGGGAGGCAGCAGUAGGGAAUCUUCCGCAAUGGACGCAAGUCUGACGGAGCAACGCCGCGUGAGUGAUGAAGGGUUUCGGCUCGUAAAACUCUGUUGUUAAGGAAGAACACUUGAGGUAGUAACUGGCCUUGAGAUGACGGUACUUAACCAGAAAGCCACGGCUAACUACGUGCCAGCAGCCGCGGUAAUACGUAGGUGGCAAGCGUUAUCCGGAAUUAUUGGGCGUAAAGCGCGCGUAGGCGGUAAAAUAAGUCUGAUGUGAAAGCCCCCGGCUCAACCGGGGAGGGUCAUUGGAAACUGUUUUACUUGAGUACAGAAGAGGAGAGUGGAAUUCCAUGUGUAGCGGUGAAAUGCGCAGAGAUAUGGAGGAACACCAGUGGCGAAGGCGGCUCUCUGGUCUGUAACUGACGCUGAGGUGCGAAAGCGUGGGGAUCAAACAGGAUUAGAUACCCUGGUAGUCCACGCCGUAAACGAUGAGUGCUAAGUGUUGGGGGGUUUCCGCCCCUCAGUGCUGCAGCUAACGCAUUAAGCACUCCGCCUGGGGAGUACGACCGCAAGGUUGAAACUCAAAUGAAUUGACGG